CCUCACCUGUGACCUGUCACCUGAAUUCCCCGGGCGGCCUCUAGCCCUUCCUUUGCAGUCCUGUCAUUUGAUGGUGUGAUUGUUGGCUAACAGCCCUGUCUUAGUACACUGCUCUUUCCCCAUACGCUGCUUCAACCCUUUUCAGAACUUGAGUACGUAUUCUGGAGGUUAUGGAAACUUGACCUUGGCCGUACCGGUGUUUCCACUCAGUACCUGAAAACUUGACCUUUAUUUGUUUAUUUUUUUCUACGUGUUUUAUUACCACCCCUUAAGUUCUAGAUGGACAGCCCACAUCUCAGUGAUAUAGAGAAACUGCCAAAAUGUCAAAAAGGACCUACAUCAACCACGUGGUCAGUCCUUCUGCGGUGCAAGACUUAUAUAAACAUAAUUUAUGUCUUUAGGAAGAGAAAAAAGUAGGUUACCGGCUAAGGCUGCGUCCCUGCCAUCCUUACCCAAAGCGGAAAUGGUCCUAUCACAAAGCAAACGAAGCCUAAAUUUGAUUCUACUGCAUCGCCAAAAUAUCAGGAGUGAAUUGACCAAGGCAGAAUGUUUAAAUCAAGUGAACUACAAAACAAACCUCAAGCAAAAAGAAUGCAGAAGGCUUCACGUUCAGGUCGAGGUCUUGCUAAUUCCAGAGCUGUUCCUAUCUUUAAAUCUAUAUGGAGCGCCUACCAUGUGCAUAACCCUGUCAUGGAGGCUGAGAAGAAAGUGGGAGGAGACUUGAAAACAACACCACAACUGGAUGACGAAACUGAGGCUGGAAGAGUGAAGGGCUGGGACCUCUCCAUUAAUCUCACUGAAGUCUAGAACACGCAUCAAACAGUGGACAAAUACUCUAAGGGCCGUGGGAAGAUGCUGCUAGAAGGAGCCUGAAUGUCCAGGAGAGGGAAGAACCUGGGAAAAGCCACUCUUGGAUUGGACAUAGAGGGAAACCGUCCUUGAGGCCAAAAAGAUAAUCGAAAUCUCUACUGGAAACGUGUUUUCAAAGGGCGAAAGGAGGUGACUUGCCAUUAUGGAGCCCUCCCUGCGAGCCAGUCCCUUCCCCUAAUUUAAAUGUAGUGGUCUAAUUGGAAGACACACUAGCCGGGUUUCUUUCCACGAAUCCGUUCAUCAUUAAAAACGAAUAAAAGAAGUAUUCCCUCAAUCUUAACUCCUCUUGCAGAUGCUAAGCCAGCUGCAGUGUUUUCAACGUCACAAAGAAUAAACCACCCCUGGAGCAGCUGGUUCAGGAGCGGCUCUGGGCUGCAGUUAUCUCCCUUGUUCUGUCGAAGUCGGUUACUGUCCAGCGCGAUUUUGUUCAAGCCUCAGCGCCCAGAGGAGGGGAGGUGCCUGCAGCGCGGGCGGCCGGCGUUCGGCGGGAGGCGGGCGCGGGUUGCAGGAGAGGGAGACGCGGAGAGGGGCGCUGGAGGCUCUCCCGGGACUCGCGGCCACCGUCGCUCCCAUCGCCAGCGCGUCGGCCGGCCCAGCCCGGGCUUUCCCCGUCGCUCCCGGUCCUCCCGACAGCGGCUAGGCGUCCGGCCCCCGGGGGAGGCCGCUCCGGUCCCCACUGCCACCCGGUGCCCCUGACCACCCUGCAGCCGCUUUCGGUUCCGCGCCUUAUAAGGCCUGACAGGAGGGUCACGUGC